AUUGAACGCUGGCGGCAGGCCUAACACAUGCAAGUCGAGCGGAUGAAGGGAGCUUUCUCCUGUAUUCAGCUGCGGACGGGUGAGUAAUGCCUAGGAAUCUGCCUGGUAUUGGGGGAUAACGUCCGGAAACGGGCGCUAAUACCGCAUACGUCCUUAUGGUGAAAGUGGGGGAUCUUCGGACCUCACGCUAUCUGAUGAGCCUAGGCCAGAUUAGCUAGUUGGUGGGGUAAAGGCCUACCAAGGCGACGAUCCGUAACUGGUCUGAGAGGGUGAUCGGUCACACGGGAAAUGAGAGAAGGUAAAGAAUACGACGGGAGGCAGCAGGAGGGAAGCGUCAGCAAAGGGCGAAAGAAUGAAGGAGCAAAGGAGCGUGAGUGAUGAAGGUAUUCGGAUAGGAAAACUCUGUUAUUAGGGAAGAAAAAAUGGGGAAGUAACUAUGCACGGCGUGACGGUACCUAAGCAGAAAGCCACGGAUAACUACGUG
rnacentral:rRNA from 1 species